AUUGAACGCUGGCGGCAGGCUUAACACAUGCAAGUCGAGCGGGGAAAGGUAGCUUGCUACCUGACCUAGCGGUGGACGGGUGAGUAAUGCUUAGGAAUCUGCCUAUUAGUGGGGGACAACAUUCCGAAAGGAAUGCUAAUACCGCAUACGCCCUACGGGGGAAAGCAGGGGAUCUUAGGACCUUGCGCUAAUAGAUGAGCCUAAGUCAGAUUAGCUAGUUGGUGGGGUAAAGGCCUACCAAGGCGACGAUCUGUAGCGGGUCGGAGAGGAUGAUCCGCCACACUGGGACUGAGACACGGCCCAGACUCCUACGGGAGGCAGCAGUGGGGAAUAUUGGACAAUGGGCGCAAGCCUGAUCCAGCCAUGCCGCGUGUGUGAAGAAGGCCUUUUGGUUGUAAAGCACUUUAAGCGAGGAGGAGGCUACUUGGAUUAAUACUCUAGGAUAGUGGACGUUACUCGCAGAAUAAGCACCGGCUAACUCUGUGCCAGCAGCCGCGGUAACAC
rnacentral:rRNA from 1 species